UAAUAUAAAAAGACACAUUUUAUAAAUAAACUUUUUUCAGAGAGCUAAUGGUUGGUGAAAAUUAGUAAAAGAAUUUAUAAAAUAUCACUUUUUAUCUUCAAAAAAGAAAAGCUCUAUAGCUGAGUAGAAUUUUGCGGUUGUCACGUUAAAACUAUAAAGAUAAAUUAUAGAAUAUUUUAUAAUUUAAUUAGGAUGGUACCGCGGUAAAUCGCUCCUUAA
rnacentral:ncRNA from 1 species